UGCUUCCUACGGGGGGCAGCAGUGAGGAAUAUUGGUCAAUGGCCGGAAGGCUGAACCAGCCAAGUCGCGUGAAGGAAGAAGGUACUUAGUAUUGUAAACUUCUUUUGUCGGGGAACAAAGGCGGAGACGCGUCUCCGGAUGAGUGUACCCGAAGAAAAAGCAUCGGCUAACUCCGUGCCAGCAGCCGCGGUAAUACGGAGGAUGCGAGCGUUAUCCGGAUUUAUUGGGUUUAAAGGGUGCGUAGGCGGAAUGCCAAGUCAGCGGUAAAAUCGCGGGGCUCAACCUCGCUCCGCCGUUGAAACUGG
rnacentral:rRNA from 1 species